rnacentral:rRNA from 1 species
CCUACGGGUGGCAGCAGUGAGGAAUAUUGGUCAAUGGGCGAGAGCCUGAACCAGCCAAGUCGCGUGAGGGAGUACUGCCCUAUGGGUUGUAAACCUCUUUUGUCGGGGAGCAAAAGCCGGACGUGUCCGGCUGUGAGAGUACCCGAAGAAAAAGCAUCGGCUAACUCCGUGCCAGCAGCCGCGGUAAUACGGGGGAUGCGAGCGUUAUCCGGAUUUAUUGGGUUUAAAGGGUGCGCAGGCGGAUUUUUAAGUCAGCGGUAAAAUCGUGGGGAUCAACCCCAUCCAGCCGUUGAAACUGGGGAUCUAGAGUGUGCGAGAGGUAUGCGGAAUGCGUGGUGUAGCGGUGAAAUGCAUAGAUAUCACGCAGAACCCCGAUUGCGAAGGCAGCAUACCGGUGCACAACUGACGCUCAGGCACGAAAGCGUGGGUAUCGAACAGGAUUAGAUACCCGAGUAGUC